CUUCUUCAGGGAUUUCAAUUCCCAGAUUUUUAUGGUAAAAAAAUUUUUAAUGCUUAUCCCUUAAGUUUAAUUGUACAACUCUACAUCAAAGUGAUGUCUUUGUACAAGACCUUGCUGAGAAAACUGAAGAAAGAACACACAAGAAAAACUUUCCUGAUGCAGGCCUUUCCUUUCACAUGCUUCAUUGUUAUCAAUGGAGUGAGGGAAACUGUACUUUCAGAACUGAGCACAGCAGAGAAAGCAACACACCCCUGAACGACUUGGAUCAAAUUCCUGCUGAAAAUCAGAAAAUAUGUGGCUUGCCAGUUCCGAACAAAACAUUGAAACACAUCCAACGAAUUUCAAAUGCCAUUUGGGCAUCAUGAUAUGCCUAAUUAAUAGAUCUUUUCCACUUUCCACACUGAAUCAAAAUUCUUAAUUUUUCAAAUGAAAUCUACUCUCAAGAUGGUGAAUAUGAAUAAGCAGGAAACCCUGAAAGCAUGGAAACGUCCCUCCUGCCCACCUGGAAAGCUCCACGCUGUGGAGGCUCUGACAAAUGGUAGAAAUUCAGAAGGGCUCGUGGAAUUUUUCUCUGGGAAACUGAUACUGGAAGCUCACCCUAAGAUGUUCAGACUUGAAAAACUCAGGCUAUUUAAAUCCUCAUCAGACAGGCUCUCUGAAGUUUAGUUGGCUGGAGCAGAAGAUUAUUACGUGUGGCAUUUUUCUACAACACAAUUUAGACAAAAACGUGCAUUAAAAACAAUCCUGACAGUGCCACCAGUGGCUCUCUCUUAUCUGAGGCAUCCUUUUCAUCCAUAUAAAGAGUUGAUGAAGAGAUCACAAUCUGCCCUAAACCCAGGAGAAAGACCAAACAGAAUGUGGGUUUUGGCUGUCUUCCACCUAGUCAGUGACAAGAAAAGACUUGAAGCAGAAAAUCUUACUAUUCUGGCAAGAAACCUCUUUUUUACCUUUAAGCAUUUCUGGCU